ensembl:lncRNA
AAUAGUUCUUAGGGGAUUUAAACGGUGCCUAUCUGAUAUAUACAUAUACAUGUUGUAAAAACUAGUCACUGUCCUUAUGAGAAAGUAUUUGGAGUGUAUAGAGAUGGGAGUGAGGCAGAAGAAGACUUGCAUUCAGUCUCAGUGAACCAAUAAGGAAGACGUACUCCUGGGUAAGGCUGAGUGAUGUCAGAGCAGGGAAUAUGCAGCUUUAUGAAGGAGGAUAACUUGAGUUGUGCCUUCCAAUAUGAGGCAAAUGAAUUACAGCCACUGGGCACAGGAAUGACUCCAGGGAUCCGAACCAGGAGAGCUGAAUCUUCAUGCUCCCAGGAUCAGCAUGUCUCACCAGCCACUCAGGCAGCUGGCACACUCCUGUAGCAUCCUGUAGAAAAAACACAAAGAUUCCCUCUUUCCCAUAAAAAUACCUGGACAGGACCAUGCCAAUAUGUGGAUCUAUUUCACCUAGG